rnacentral:tRNA from 1 species
GCCUCAGUAGUCUAAUGGCUUAGGACGCUCAUACGGCAUACAAGAGAUCCGGGUUCGACUCCCGGCCGAAGUA